GGCCGUGCCAUUCCCAAACUCGAUAAUCCGAAUCCUUCUCCUCCUGAAACCCCACGCAAAUGUGGUGCUCGCCGAUUGUGACGGCCUGGCCGGAAUUGGGUUUUAGGGAAUCGGUAUUUCCGGCGAGAAUGACGCGAAUAAUCUCUUUCUCGAGCUUCGAAUCCUCUUUAGCGAGCUGGGUUUUGUUUUCGUCGUUGUCAUCGUCGGAGAGAUUGGCGGCAUCGAAGAGGAGUUCUUCGAGGGAUUGGGAGAGAAGGGGAUUGUUGUUGUUUGGAGGCCGAAUUUGGAGCCUCCCCAUGAGGGUUUGAAGGAG
rnacentral:misc_RNA from 1 species